AUUAUUUAUUAUUCUAAUAAUUUUAAUACAUGAUUUUACGUUAGGUUAAAAAUAUUUGGUUUAAGUUCGGUUAGGUUAAAAUUAAACUGGUUAAAUCUGGUUAGAUUAAAUUGCUACCGGUGAGUAAACUUCUUUGUAAGUUUACAACGAUUAUUUUAUUGGUUCUUUUUUUAUUUAUUGUUUUAGUAAUUUUAACGUAUGAUUUACUAAAUUUAUUUCUUUAUUUCUUAGGAGUUAUAAUAUAUGAUUUCAGAUUUUUAUUUAUAAAGAGCUAAAUUUAAUUUAAAAUAAUAUUUUUGUAAUCACUAAUUAAAGAAGACUCAAAAAGACGUCUAUAGUGCAAUAGACUUUAUUAUAGGUCUACUAUACCAUAAACCAAAAAUCUCAAACCCUAAAAUUUCUAUUUAUGAUAAAAAAUUCUCAAUUAUUGUAUCAGAUAUAAAAAUAUUUAAAAUAUAAACUACUCAACAUUAAUAUUCAAAUUUAAGUCAAUAAACCAAAAAAAAAUCUCAAUCUAAAAUCUAACCCUUAGAACCUUUUGUUGCUAAACAAUAAAUAUUGUCUAACACAUGGUUAUCAAAUCAAUAUAUAUUCUUUUAAAUUUUCAGUUAUAUAAAAUUUUAAUUUAUAAACUUCAUAUUAAUCCUUAUAUUGAUGAUUAAUUAAAAAUUUCACAAAAAAUGCUUUUAUACAUUUUAGAAAAAUAAUUUAUCAGAUCAAAUUACAAUGUAGACUACAUAAUGAGUUUACAUAGUAAAUUUCUUAAGAGGUUGACAAUUUCUUAGACUUCUUUUGUUAUGUUUAGACUUACGAAGGACAUAAUCGUGAAAUGAAUUUUUUUUUUUUUGGUCAUAAGGGUUAAAUAAUAUUUUUACUAUCUCUUUAGGUUGGUUUUGCAUUCGAUUGAAUAUGAGAAUUAUUUUUAUGUUUAAUUUGAAUAUUUGGUUGUUUUUAGCAAAUUUCCAUUUAAUUAAUUGAUAGACAACUCUUCAAAUAUUAUUGUGGUUGACCUACUUUGACUAAAAAACGGAAAGGCAGUAUGAAUGAAUGAAUCAUGAGUCUACCUUUGACCAAAAGCAACUUCUUUCUCCGAAAAGAAAAUUCAUGUAUAACGAAAGCUGCGGUUAGGAACUAUAGGGCAUGACUAAAUUUUUAAUUUACUCCCCCGAAGUUUCAGUUUCAUUCUCCAAAACACAAUUCAAACUUGUUAGUCGAAUUCAAUGAGAAGCAUAAGAUGAAUUACGACCCUUUAGCCUUUAACAGAAACACAUACUUCUCUCCUCAUAUCACCGUAUCAACAACCAUAUCGACAACUUCUAGGCGAAUUGACCUUUCUCUCUGGAAGCUCCGAGGGUGAGAGCAUUAGCGUCUCCGAUUUCGGACCUGAGAAACUCUCCGGGGCUGCAGAAUUCUUCGGGAGACAUGUCGUCUUGUCCUACAAAAAGCCAGUGAGGAUCGAGGCUUCUCUCUUCCGUGUAUCUACGAGACUACGAGGAAGAGUGAUAUGAAGAAAGAGGUGAACAUUUGUCCCUUUGAAUAGUAAUGGCAGAAUCUCUGUGAUUUCAACUAGAUUUAGGGCUCCUUUUGAAUGUUUUUUCCCAAAAUUUCUGUAAUUCAAGAGGAUUUAGGUCUGGUGAUUUCUGUUAUUUGAUCCUUUGGUUUGUGAUUCUAGUUAAGAGUUCUAAUGAUAUCAGUGAGUUGUAAAGUCCUUUCUCCUAAAACCUUGUGGGAUUCUCUCGGUCUUAUUUGCUUAGAUAUCGUUUGAUGUUAAGAUUACACAAUGAUUCUUAUGAUGUUUGCAUCAGUUAUGAAUCUCUUUUGUUGCUUCUUCCACUAAAUUGCAAUGUACCUCAACUGUUGGAGCAACAUAUCAACAUAGGCGAGAUAUAGACCACCUUUGGAGGGGUGAAAUGUGUCUGUAAGAAGAUCAGAAGAAAACUCAAAGAACAAAGGUUUCAAGAACUAAAUGAGAAGAAUCAAAUAAUAACGGGAUAUGUUCCUUUUGUUGAGAUGUCAAGCAAUGGUUGAAGAAUUGGGAGACACAAAAAGGAUAUGUUGCAUGCGUAAAAUGUUUCUACUUUGAGUUGUAAAGAGUUAUAAAACAUGUGUACAUAUUAUUAUCGUGGAUAAACCCCCAAGUUGCUUGUUUGACCAUCAUGGAUAGCAAAAUUAGUAUCCACAUGUACACAUAUUUAUUGUACAUAUUUAUGAUUUAUGAUGAUAUCCACAUGUA